GUGGGGUAACGGCCUACCAAGGCGAUGACGGGUAGCGGGUCUGAGAGGAUGAUCCGUCACACUGGGACUGAGACACUGCCCAGACUCCUACGGGAGGCUGCAGUCGAGAAUCUUCCGCAAUGGGCGAAAGCCUGACGGAGCGACACCGCGUGCAGGAUGAAGGCCUUAGGGUUGUAAACUGCUGUCACGCCAUAGGAAUGCUGCGAUGUGAAUAGUGUCGUAGUUGACCAAAGCGAGAGGAAGAGCCGGCUAACUCCGUGCCAGCAGCCGCGGUAAGGCGGAGGGCUCAAACGUUGUUCGGAAUCACUGGGCAUAAAGCGCACGUAGGCGGCCGCUUAAGUCGGAUGUGAAAGCCCCCGGCCCAACCGGGGUACUGCAUCCGAAACUGGGUGGCUCGAGGAUGGCAGGGGUGAGUGGAACUCCAGGUGGAACGGUGAAAUGUGUAGAUAUCUGGAGGAGCACCGGUGGCGAAAGCGGCUCACUGGGCCAUCACUGACGCUGAGGAGCGAAAGCCAGGGUAGCAAACGGGAUUAGAUACCCCGGUAGUCCUGGCCGUAAACGAUGGGCACUAGGCAGUGGACUGACCUAUGCGGUUCACUGCCGUAGCAAAUGUGUUAAGUG
rnacentral:rRNA from 1 species